rnacentral:rRNA from 1 species
GAUGAACGCUGGCGGCGUGCCUAAUACAUGCAAGUCGAGCGAACAGACGAGGAGCUUGCUCCUCUGACGUUAGCGGCGGACGGGUGAGUAACACGUGGAUAACCUACCUAUAAGACUGGGAUAACUUCGGGAAACCGGAGCUAAUACCGGAUAAUAUAUUGAACCGCAUGGUUCAAUAGUGAAAGACGGUUUUGCUGUCACUUAUAGAUGGAUCCGCGCCGCAUUAGCUAGUUGGUAAGGUAACGGCUUACCAAGGCGACGAUGCGUAGCCGACCUGAGAGGGUGAUCGGCCACACUGGAACUGAGACACGGUCCAGACUCCUACGGGAGGCAGAAGUAGGGAAUCUUCCGCAAUGGGCGAAAGCUUGACGGAGCAACGCCGCGUGAGUGAUGAAGGUCUUCGGAUCGUAAAACUCUGUUAUUAGGGAAGAACAAAUGUGUAAGUAACUAUGCACGUCUUGACGGUACCUAAUCAGAAAGCCACGGCUAACUACGUG